rnacentral:tRNA from 1 species
GGCAGGAUGGCCGAGUGGUUAAGGCGUUUGACUCGAAAUCAAAUUACCUCUGGUAGCGUAGGUUCGAAUCCUGCUCCUGUCG